UAACUAACUCCGCUUGUAGCUCCUCUAGAGUUACUGCCGGUCCAAAGCCCGGAUAAAGGAGGAGGGUUGG
rnacentral:ribozyme from 2 species